GCGAGUGAAGCGGCAAUAGCUCAAAUUUGAAAUCUGGCCCUUUCGGGGUCCGAGUUGUAAUUUGUAGAGAGUGUUUCGGGUGAGACCACGGUCUAAGUCCGUUGGAACACGGUGUCAUAGAGGGUGAGAAUCCCGUCUGUGACCGUGGAUCGAGCCCAUGUGAAGCCUCUUCGACGAGUCGAGUUGUUUGGGAAUGCAGCUCAAAAUGGGUGGUAAAUUUCAUCUAAAGCUAAAUACUGGCUGGAGACCGAUAGCGCACAAGUAGAGUGAUCGAAAGAUGAAAAGCACUUUGGAAAGAGAGUGAAACAGUACGUGAAAUUGUUGAAAGGGAAGCGCUUGCAACCAGACCUGCCCGUAGGCGAUCAGCCGCUGUUCUCAGUGGUGCACUCGCUCUGCGAUCAGGCCAGCAUCGGUUUCGGCGGUCGGAUAAAGGCCUUGGGAAUGUAGCUCCUUUUCGGGGGAGUCUUAUAGCCCUUGGUGCAAUGCGGCCAGCCGGGACCGAGGACCGCGCUUCGGCUAGGAUGCUGGCGUAAUGGUUGUAAGCGACCCGUCUUGAAACACGGACCAAGGAGUCUAACAUCUAUGCGAGUGUUUGGGUGUCAAACCCAUGCGCGGAAUGAAAGUGAACGGAGGUGAGAACCCUUAAGGGCGCAUCAUCGACCGAUCCAGAUGUCUUCGGAUGGAUUUGAGUAUGAGCAUAGCUGUUGGGACCCGAAAGAUGGUGAACUAUGCCUGAAUAGGGUGAAGCCAGAGGAAACUCUGGUGGAGGCUCGCAGCGGUUCUGACGUGCAAAUCGAUCGUC
rnacentral:rRNA from 1 species